AUUAUAUUCCACCGUUGAAGGACUUUUGUUAAGUACCUGUUUGACCCUUAGUGCAGGGCUUACAUCCCACAGUUAGCAAUAGCAAGUUAUGUGCUUUUUGAGCCCUAAACACUGAGAAUUUCUUGAACCGAGUUCUAUUCGGCCCUGACUUGCUGUGGGGGAGAAAAGAUUCCUCGGGAGAAGCGUGGGUGGCGAUGGCUUAGGAGGACCUUGAAAUUCCGCAUUUGUCUGUGAGCUGCUGCCAGGUGCCCAUUGGCCCAGCUACUCUGGGUCGCAAACCUGCAGAUGCCAGAUACAUGAAAUUUGGGGACAUUCAGCUUCCUAAAACCACAGUUAGGCAGGUCCUAGGACCCGUGAUUCUUGCCACAGUUUUUCUUAGUAUUUGGGCUACAAGUGAGGCAUUGGCCGCCAUCUUGAUAUCAAAUGCCAGGCAAGCCGCUACUGGCGUCGCUCGGUAACCACGGAGACACCCGUGCCCCUCCCGUUUCUCAUCCUUAGAGGCUGUAAACUACAAUUCCCAUCAGCCGAUUUCCUCUGCUUAAUGGCAACUUAUCUAAAUCUGGCUUGUGGGCAACCGCAACGCUGCCGCAGUGAACUGUGGGAGUUGCGGUUCAUGGCGUAGACUCAGUUUUUUUCCUGGGGAAAGUUCCAGAACUACAAAUCCCGUGAGCCAGUGGGCUUUCGCCUGCGCACGGAGAAGCCGAUUCUCCUUGGCCCCUCAGCCUGCGCCUGAGAGGUAAGAGAGGGCGGGGGGAAGGAAGAGGAGGCGGGAUCCGGGCGCUGCGUUGGCUGCGGCCUGGCACCAAAGGGGCGGCCCCGGCGGAGAGCGGACCCAGUGGCCUCGGCGAUUAUGGACCCGGCCGAGGCGGUGCUGCAAGAGAAGGCACUCAAGUUUAUGUGCUCUAUGCCCAGGUCUCUGUGGCUGGGCUGCUCCAGCCUGGCGGACAGCAUGCCUUCGCUGCGAUGCCUGUAUAACCCAGGGACUGGCGCACUCACAGCUUUCCAGAAUUCCUCAGAGAGAGAAGACUGUAAUAAUGGCGAACCCCCUAGGAAGAUAAUACCAGAGAAGAAUUCACUUAGACAGACAUACAACAGCUGUGCCAGACUCUGCUUAAACCAAGAAACAGUAUGUUUAGGAAGCACUGCUAUGAAGACUGAGAAUUGUGUGGCCAAAACAAAACUUGCCAAUGGCACUUCCAGUAUGAUUGUGCCCAAGCA
rnacentral:lncRNA from 1 species